ensembl:Mt_tRNA
CGAGAAAAUAGUUUAGUUUAGAAUUCUGGCUUUGGUAGCCAGGGGUGAGAGUUAAAAUCUCUCUUUUCUGGG